rnacentral:rRNA from 1 species
GACGAACGCUGGCGGCGUGCCUAAUACAUGCAAGUAGGACGCAGUUGCGAACGGGUGAGUAACGCGUAGGUAACUACCUAUUAGAGGGGGAUAACUAUUGGAAACGAUAGCUAAUACCGCAUACUAGUAGAUGGACCUGCGUUGUAUUAGCUAGUAGGUUGGGUAAUGGGCUACCUAGGCAACGAUACAUAGGCGACCCGAGAGGGGGUUCGGCCAAACUUGGGAUGGGUAACGGGCCAGACUCCCGCGGGAGGCAGCAGGAGGGGAUCGUCGGCAAUUGGGGGAAACCUGACCGGGCAACGCCGGGGGAGUGAAGAAGGGUUUCGGAUCGGAAAGCGUUGUUGUUAAGGAAGCGGUACUUAACCAGAAAGGGACGGCUAACUACGUGCCAGCAGCCGCGGUAAUAC